rnacentral:misc_RNA from 1 species
GAACUACGCUGCUGUUAUACAUAUCAGGUAAGCCUGCAUCAACCACUUGAACUUUCCACCCCAUUUUCUGAGCAUAUAGAGACUGAUAGUAAACUAAAUCUGGCGUGUUCCGGUCAGGAGCCCAAACUAAUUCUGUGGGAGUGGCUUGAACUCCUUGUGCUUCAGGUCCCCCAAAGUAGAUGGUCUCUGACAUAUUCCUCAAUGUAGCAUUUCCACCAAGUGGAUCUGAGGUUA